AGCUGAGGCAAUGCUCUAGAGAUGGUCACAGGUAUAAGCUGUUAGCUAGAGCAAUUUCAGCAGCUGGGAGGUGAGCUUAUCUAUCCACAAAGGUUAUCUGAGAGGGGCAACAACUUCUACUGCUGUUAGUUUACCUUUGGGUAUAAACCUCAACUUUGAGGAAAGAGUUAAAUUCAAUGGAAAACAAAUUUGUUGAGUGCCUACUAUGUGCAAAACAGUAUGUUGGGGCAAAAGGGGAACACAAUGUGGAAGAUCUGUUGCCCUCAAGAAGAAAAAACUGUGCAUAUCAGCAAGGUAUCUCUUCCUGAGGCCGGUCUUCGUUAGCGAGCUUGCAAUUAGAAAUGGACGUAAGAG
rnacentral:lncRNA from 1 species